GUUGUAUAGUCAAGUAAUGAAGUGCACAUGGUGGAUGCCUUGGCAGUCAGAGGCGAUGAAAGACGUGACAGCCUGCGAAAAGCGUCGGGGAGGCGGCAAUAUCCUGUGAUCCGGCGAUAUCUGAAUGGGGAAACCCACUUGUCAUAAGACAGGUAUCGUAAAUUUAUUUACGAGGCAAACCGGGAGAAGUGAAACAUCUCAGUAACCCGAGGAAAAGACAUCAAUAGAGAUUCCCCUAGUAGCGGCGAGCGAACGGGGAGGAGCCGACUGAUUAUAAUUUAGAGGAAUGACUUGGAAAGGUCAAUCGUAGAGGGUGAUAAUCCCGUACUCGAAAGGUUAUAAGAAGCAUAUUAAGUAGGGCGGAACACGAGAAAUUCUGUCUGAAGAUGGGGGGACCAUCCUCCAAGGCUAAAUACUCCUGACUGACCGAUAGUGAACCAGUACCGUGAGGGAAAGGCGAAAAGAACCCCUGUGAGGGGAGUGAAAUAGAACCUGAAACCGUGUGCAUACAAGCAGUCGGAGCGGACAUGUUCCGUGACGGCGUACCUUUUGUAUAAUGGGUCAGCGACUUAUAUUCUGUAGCAAGGUUAACCGAAUAGGGGAGCCGUAGGGAAACCGAGUCUUAAUAGGGCGUCUAGUUGCAGGGUAUAGACCCGAAACCGAGUGAUCUAUCCAUGAGCAGGUUGAAAGUGACGUAACAGUUACCGGAGGACCGAACCCACUGUCGUUGAAAAGCCAGGGGAUGACUUGUGGAUAGGGGUGAAAGGCUAAUCAAACUCGGUGAUAGCUGGUUCUCCCCGAAAGCUAUUUAGGUAGCGCCUCGGACGAACACCAUUGGGGGUAGAGCACUGUUUCGGCUAGGGGGUCAUCCCGACUUACCAAACCGAUGCAAACUCCGAAUACCGAUGAGUGAUAUCCGGGAGACAGACGGCGGGUGCUAACGUCCGUCGUCAAGAGGGAAACAACCCAGACCGCCAGCUAAGGCCCCAAAUUCCUAGUUAAGUGGGAAACGAUGUGGGAAGGCACAGACAGCUAGGAGGUUGGCUUAGAAGCAGCCAUCCUUUAAAGAAAGCGUAAUAGCUCACUAGUCGAGUCGGCCUGCGCGGAAGAUGUAACGGGGCUCAAACUAGGAGCCGAAGCUGCGGAUUUAAUUGUUUCAAUUAAGUGGUAGGGGAGCAUUGUGUAAGCCUGUGAAGGUGUGUUGUAAAGCAUGCUGGAGGUAUCACAAGAGCGAAUGCUGACGUGAGUAACGACAAAACGGGUGAAAAGCCCGUUCGCCGGAAGACCAAGGGUUCCAGUCCAACGUUAAUCGGGGCUGGGUGAGUCGACCCCUAAGGCGAGGCCGAAAGGCGUAGUCGAUGGGAAAUCGGUUAAUAUUCCGAUACUUGUUUAUGAUGCGAUGGAGGGACGGAGAAGGUUAUGCCAGCUUGGCGAUGGUUGUCCAAGUGGAAGGAUGUAGUUAGGUUUAGUAGGCAAAUCCGCUAGACUAUUAAUGAGAUCUGAUAGCAAGCUGUACUUGUACAGCGAAGUGGCAAAUACCCUGCUUCCAGGAAAAGCUUCUAAGCGAUAGUCAUAAAGAAAUCGUACCCUAAACCGACACAGGUGGUCAGGUAGAGAAUACCAAGGCGCUUGAGAGAACUCUGCUGAAGGAACUAGGCAAAAUGGUACCGUAACUUCGGGAGAAGGUACGCUGCCGAUGGUGAGUAGACAUGCUCUACAAAGCUAUUGGCAGUCGCAGAUACCAGGCCGCUGCAACUGUUUAUUAAAAACACAGCACUCUGCAAACACGAAAGUGGACGUAUAGGGUGUGAUGCCUGCCCGGUGCUGGAAGGUUAAUUGAUGGGGUUAGCGUAAGCGAAGCUCUUGAUCGAAGCCCCAGUAAACGGCGGCCGUAACUAUAACGGUCCUAAGGUAGCGAAAUUCCUUGUCGGGUAAGUUCCGACCUGCACGAAUGGCAUAAUGAUGGCGGCGCUGUCUCCAGCAGAGACUCAGUGAAAUCGAAAUCGCAGUGAAGAUGCUGUGUACCCGCGGCUAGACGGAAAGACCCCGUGAACCUUUACUACAGCUUUACAUUGAACUUUGACCUUACCUGUGUAGGAUAGGUGGGAGGCUUUGAAGCAGGCACGCCAGUGUCUGUGGAGCCAUCCUUGAAAUACCACCCUGGUAAUGUUGGGGUUCUAACUCAAGCUUAACAGAGCUGAGGACAAUGUAUGGUGGGUAGUUUGACUGGGGCGGUCUCCUCCUAAAGAGUAACGGAGGAGUACGAAGGUGCGCUCAGAACGGUCGGAAAUCGUUCGAAGAGUAUAAAGGCAAAAGCGCGCUUAACUGCGAGACCCACAAGUCGAGCAGAUACGAAAGUAGGUCUUAGUGAUCCGGUGGUUCUGUAUGGAAGGGCCAUCGCUCAACGGAUAAAAGGUACUCUGGGGAUAACAGGCUGAUACCGCCCAAGAGUUCAUAUCGACGGCGGUGUUUGGCACCUCGAUGUCGGCUCAUCUCAUCCUGGGGCUGAAGCAGGUCCCAAGGGUAUGGCUGUUCGCCAUUUAAAGAGGUACGCGAGCUGGGUUUAGAACGUCGUGAGACAGUUCGGUCCCUAUCUACCGUGGGCGUUGGAAAUUUGAGAGGAUCUGCUCCUAGUACGAGAGGACCAGAGUGGACGAACCUCUGGUGUUUCGGUUGUGACGCCAGUCGCAUUGCCGAGUAGCUAUGUUCGGAUGGGAUAACCGCUGAAAGCAUCUAAGCGGGAAGCCCACCUUAAGAUUAGAUUUCCCUAAAGAGCCGUUGUAGACUACGACGUUGAUAGGUUGGGUGUGGAAGCAUAGUGAUAUGUGUAGCUAACCAAUACUAAUUGCUCGUUUGGCUUGACUAUACAACGCCUAA
rnacentral:rRNA from 1 species